rnacentral:rRNA from 1 species
AUGGCCGGCGGAGUUGAGGGAGAGGUGAGGGGGAAGGUGCUGACUCUGUUGAAGGAGGCAAAGGCAGCAAUAAAGCAAAUCAAGUUGUUGCUAGGCCAGACGCCCAAGGUGGACGGACCAGAUGGUCAACGAUUCUGCAAGCGGCAGUGGGAAUUCGAAGAAACAGAGGAGGAAGAAGAGGAGGAGGUCCCCGGCGAGGGCUGCGGUGGAGACUGGUUGGAUGCCCUCAGUAAGGAGGACCUGCUCGAGUACGUCAACGGAUUUGAUGUCGGCGACACUAACCAAGGUUCGCUUGUGACCCAGGAUGCCGAUGUCUGCGUUCGUGUAGAAGAUGUCUCGCCCAUGCUGCUCAAUUUUGUUCAAGACGACGUCCAUGUCCUUGGCGGGAGCUUGCCCAUCUUGGCCGGUGAAGAGGUACUGCCCGAGGACGCUGAGACCCAAGACGGCAAUGAGGUGCUGCCCGACGACGCCGAGACCGAUGGCGGAGAGGUGCUGCCCGAGGGCGCCGAUACCGACGGCGGACACAUGUUGCCUGAGGACGCCGAGACCGGCGACAGCGUAGACGUGCUGCUCGAGGACGCCCAUACCGACGAUGGCAUAGAGUUGCUACCCGAGGACGCCCAGACCGACGACGGUGUCGAGUUGCUGCUCCAGGACGCCCAGACCGAUGACGGUGUCGAGUUGCUGCUCCAGGACGCCCAGACCGAUGACGGCGUAGAGUUGCUGCCCGAAGACGGUGAAGCGGCACUGCCCGAGGAUGCUGACAGUGAUGUAUCUUUCGUGCCUGACUCUAUGCCCGCUCACGAUGGCGACUCGCUCGAUGAAUCGACGAUGGAGAUGGUGGCACUUAGGAACUCGAUCGCGGCAUUUACAAUUGCUGGAUCACAUGGUAACCUAGCUGGGAGAAGGCCAGCUCCUGCUAGGGCCAUCUUCCUCAUGAUAACCGCGGUCCGAAGCAAGCCACUUCUCCUUAAUGGCAGGAAGAAGUUUGUUCACCAUAUCAAUAUCCUUUAUGGCAUCUUCAUUGAAAGCAAUCCUCUUGCGGCCACAAUUCUUGGUCCUCUUGCUCAAGACUCCCUGCAAUCCACCAGCCUUCUUUCCCUCCAGCCAUCUCAGUUGUAUAGUUCGCAAAGGAAUGUUUGUUUCUUCGGUGAUAGCUUUAGAACCAGUACACUAUGCAUGAAGCAUACAAGCAUGCAUGAUCCAGAAUCCAUGAAGCAGUACGCAUUGUGUGGCAGCAUCGAAAAAAAGGAAAAAAUGCUUGAUCUCAAUGAGUUGCCUCCUGAUCUCAAUGAGCUUCCUCAUGAUAUGGAUCAGCAUCAACCCAACAUACCACAAGGAAAUUGGUCAGAAAAUGGGCGAUCUGUUUACUAUACGCAGGCAAGUCGUGGUGGAAGCCCUAUUGGCCAUGACAAUAUGGCAGGCCAGCCAUCAAGCCGUGGUGCCCAUGUAGUGGUUUCUUUGCAGUCAGAGAGCCAUACUCUAGAUGACACAGGAACCGAGGCAAAUGUUCCUGGUCCCAGGACUGAGUUAGGGGCUGGGGCUGUUGAUGGAGCUGUGCAAGAAGAAGAAGGAGAGGAUGAGGUGGUGCUAACCCUCAAGGACCUCCUCCACCUCCUGGCAGGGCACGACAUACUCUGUGAUGCCAACCCUCAAAGACAUCCUCCCCCGCCUGGCCCAACUAGCAGUGCCCUGCAUGCUACUCCCAAUGGACCUACAGGCAGGACUCAGGGGGCUCAUCACCCAGGUGAUCGUGAUGGUCCUACUGCCCCAUUGGAGGCUGCAUCCCCUGCACAAGCUUCUGAUGAUUUUGUGCCCAGGGAUCCUCCAAGGUCUACUACAAAGGAUAGGGCAAAGAGUCGACGGUACAAAUCGGCGCUGGAGCUACACCCAAAGAAGAAAAACAAAUGCAGCCAGUGCCAAUCUACAGAGCACACUGCUAGUGUGUGUCCACUCAGGCUACUGUGA